CACGUAGGGUGCGGGCGUGUCCGGAAUUAUUGGGCGUAAAGAGCUCGUAGGCGGUGUGUCGCGUCGGCCGUGAAAACCUGCAGCUUAACUGUGGGCUUGCGGUCGAUACGGGCAUCACUGGAGUUCGGCAGGGGAGACUGGAAUUCCUGGUGUAGCGGUGAAAUGCGCAGAUAUCAGGAGGAACACCGGUGGCGAAGGCGGGUCUCUGGGCCAUAACUGACGCUGAGGAGCGAAAGCAUGGGGAGCGAACAGG
rnacentral:rRNA from 1 species